rnacentral:tRNA from 1 species
GGAGGGGUGGCUGAGUGGCUGAAAGCGCUGGUCUUGAAAACCAGUGUACCCGCAAGGGUACCGUGGGUUCAAAUCCCACCCCCUCCG